rnacentral:rRNA from 1 species
CCUACGGGCGGCUGCAGUGGGGAAUAUUGGACAAUGGGGGGAACCCUGAUCCAGCCAUGCCGCGUGUGUGAAGAAGGCCCUCGGGUUGUAAAGCACUUUCAGUGAGGAAGAACGCCUGGUGGUUAAUACCCAUCAGGAAAGACAUCACUCACAGAAGAAGCACCGGCUAACUCCGUGCCAGCAGCCGCGGUAAUACGGAGGGUGCGAGCGUUAAUCGGAAUUACUGGGCGUAAAGCGCGCGUAGGUGGCUUGAUAAGCCGGUUGUGAAAGCCCCGGGCUCAACCUGGGAACGGCAUCCGGAACUGUCAAGCUAGAGUGCAGGCGAGGAAGGUAGAAUUCCCGGUGUAGCGGUGAAAUGCGUAGAGAUCGGGAGGAAUACCAGUGGCGAAGGCGGCCUUCUGGACUGACACUGACACUGAGGUGCGAAAGCGUGGGUAGCAAACAGGAUUAGAUACCCUUGUAGUC